rnacentral:lncRNA from 1 species
UUAUGAACUUAUAUUCACAAGUAGUGAAGGUUGCUAGUCACAAUCACGUUAAGUAAAUUCUUGGCAUAAGUUUUAUGCAAAUCAUAGUAACGAGUGCCUCGUCAAUGCUUAUGUUUUUCAUAGAACUUAAUGAUUCUUGCUUGUAUCUCUAUUAUGCAAUUCAUGGAGGGAACUUGUAGGGAAUGUUUUGGGUUGUCGUAUGCAAUCAUCCAAUCCAAUAACUUAUGGAAAAACUGAGGGUUAAUUAGUGCAAUUCAUGGUUAAUUUGGGGCGUUGAGUAUUCAUAGCUUAUCGAAAAGCAACUGGAAAUCGUUUUGUAUGCAAAUGUGACAUGUGUGGAGAAGAACCUCCUAGCUAGCCUUCCAUCCAUAAGUUUCAUUCAAAUUCAUUUUACAAU